GUUUAUAAUAUUAGAUGUUGUUUUCUGGAAACAUAUAUUCUUUAAUUCUUGUUAUAAUAUGCACAUCAAAUACAUUAUAUUAUAUUUGUUUAUUUUAUAUCUAUCUAAUUCUUCCAAUAGAAGGAAAUCAAUCCGUCUUCUUGAAGAAAUUAUUUAGAGGGACUAAAAUGAAUAGUUGAUAUAUUUAUAGGGACUAAAAACAUAUUUAAAUCUUGUUUUAAAGUAGAAAAAUGCUUGAGUCCUAUGAGUUUAGCUUACUAAUUGAUAGGAAUAUUGUAUAAUAUAUGCACGUGGGGAGUCUAAUCACUCUACUUAUUCACCUUUCAAAUUUGAAUUUCUAGCUACUUAUGGGAAGAAAGAAAACGCUUGAACAUAGGGUGUAACAACAAUCAUAAUUCAAUUUUCAACCAUCGAUCCAACUAAUUGAAAAAUUGAUUAAUAAAAAUAUUGAAGUACCCUUGACUCAAACACAGGUUCAAUCACGGUCUUUAUUUAGAAGGAAAAAAAAAAAAAACACAGAGACACACACACACAAACAUGGUUAACAAACACAACGUAGCUAGCAAUAGCAUGGUGUUUUAUUUAGAAAUAGUAGUUAUGAUAAGCUCCAUGCAUAGAUCCAUCAAACCAAAUCAGAUGACUUAAAAGCUAGCAAUAUUGUCUGAGGUGGUCGUUGUUGUUGUGUCCAAGUUUGAUUUGAAAGACCAUGCAUGGAGGUGGUGUAGUUGACGGGCACCUGUUGUUGUAGCAGCAGAAAAACCAAUCCUUACCGUGUGUGGAAGCACUUCUUUCAAAUCAAUGACUUGAGCAAUAGUUGAAAAGGUACCAUCUGGGUAAGAUACAACAACAUUCAAUGUCUUAGAGAGAUUGUCAUAGGAGAUAUUUACAUCGACCAAGGCACCACUAACUCUAUUCCAUUUCACUGUCUUUAAAGAAAUCAAUGAGUUGACAUCAAUUCCAACAUGAGUGUAUUUGGGAUCCCAUGAACUAACACCAUCAAACUCUACACCAAUAAAUUGAUUGAAUGCAUUUUUGGAGUCAAUAACUCCAAGGUAUCCACCAUCUGAGUUGUUAGGAAGAUAGUUUUGAUCUAGUGGUAAAAGAUGGAAGAUAAGUCCACUACCUGGUGAAAAAUCUUUGAAGUCUACAACUUUGAAUGUGAAGGUGGUGAUGAAACUAGCAACGUUGGCAGUGAUAUUAUCCCAAAUGGGCACCGGUGUAUAAUGAAGGAUUCGACCAGCAAGAUAUGUAGGGUCAUUUGGAUUGGUUAUCGUCACGAUUCCAUCGGGUAAAAUCACGGAACUUCCUUGCAGGGAAACAUCGGAUUGACUAGUAGUGAAGUUGGAGAUGUUGAAGGAAACUGUUUUUUGUGAGUUCACUAGUUCUGUUUCUAGCAAGAGAAAGGAAGUUGUGAAAAUGAGCAACACAACAGAAAAAAGGUUUUGAUUUGUUGUAAAGAAAGCCAUGGUACUUUGGAGAUUAUACUUUUUAUAUGUAGUUGAUUAGUUGUGAAUGAAAAUUGUAGGUUUGUCACAUGUAUUUAUACACGCAUGCUAGGGCUUGGUUUGGUUUGUGAAAUGUAAAUUGUAAUUAUAUUAUUGAAACAAAUACAUGUGUGAUACACCAAAUUAAUUGUGCACUACAAUAGCAUUAGACAUUCCUGCGAGGGACAUACAAUUAGAAGAUAAACCAAGUAAAUCAACUACACUGGAAACCAUAUAAUGAGUACAAAGUUUAGGUGCAUCAAGUCAAGCAUCUAACAAAUCAAUCACUUCAUCCAUCGAUCUUAGACACCGAAGAGAUAAGAUGCCACAAUCUUAAAACUUAUUCAGUUACGGCAAAUAGUAUUAAUUGUGGACAAAGUUCAAUUUUUAACGGUCUCACAAUAGUUCAUCUUAAAUCUUUGAUCAGAUACCAAUUUAUUAUAGAAAAAUAACCAAAAAAACAAUUUGGCCACAAGAUUCUUGGACUGGAACAGGUCGACCAUGUAAAGAACAAAUGUCUAAGCCUUGACAUCAUUGACACUUGGUGGAUUAUAGACUGGAACAGGUCCACCUUGUGAAGAACAAACGUCUAAGCCUUGACAACAUUGACUGUUGGUUGACUGUGGACUAGUAUAGGUCGUCCCUGUGAAGAACAAACGUCUACGUCUUGACAUGUUUGACGCUUGGUGGACUAUGGACAGGUAUAGGUUGACCCUGUGAAGAACAAACGUCUACGCCUUGACGGACUUGACGUUUGGUGGACUGUGGACUGGUAUAGAGGACCAUACCACAUGGACUUUACUAUACAUUGACUAUUCAACAUGUCCAACUCAACUCUACCCUUCAGCAUGCCCAGCUCAGCCCGACCUUUCAGCAUGCUCAGCUCAACUUGACCCUUCAGCAUGCCCAGCUUAGCUCGACCCUUCAGCAUGCCCACCUCAGCUGGACCCUUCAGUAUGUCCAGUUCAUCUCAACCCUUCAGCAUGCCCAACUCAACUCUACUCUUCAGGUCAACUAGAGCUCCACUUAUUCCUCACGCUAUUAUCCAAGUGAAAGUUGUGGUCCUCGUAAGAAGUGUUUCAUGGUAUGCCACACAUUCUGCACGGACAAGUGAAGUGAACUACAAGUGUUCAGCUCCAUGUGUCCUGUACGAGGGAGAUGCACAAAGAAGGAGUAGCCAAUUCUGCUAAUGGGAGUGAGGACUAUAAAAGAUGAGUUUUACUUUUCCCACCCAAUGCCUUUUCUCGCGCGCCCUAUUUUUUGUCCAAUUUUACCCAUGGUCCGGAUUUCGUUUUCCGGAUUGUAUUGUUAGAAUUUUGCAGAUGUUUCCAGAUUUGAAAAUCCGGAAUAAUGUUUUACCAGAACUUUUGUAAUUUUAAGCUUUACAAUUCAUAAAAUAAAAUGCAAAUAAAAUAAAAAACAGAAAUAAAAAGACACAAACAUAAAAAUAACUCAUUUUAUUAAUAUAUGAACAAUCUGGUCCGGAUUUCGUUUUCCAGAUAUCACUAACAAUCUGGUCCGGAUCAGGGGUAUUUUUGGAAAUUUUGCAGGGCGCGCGAGAAGGCAGCAGGAUAGGAAAAGUAAUAUUUAUAAAAUAUUGCACUUAGAAAGCAAGGGGGAUUCAUUCAUUCUAGCCUACAUAUUAUAUUUUCAUCUUAAUCAUUUUAGAGUAUUCUUUGAAAUCCUCGUAGACAGCUCAACUGAAUAUCUCAUCUAUUGUAAUUCAUGUUUACAUACAUAAAACAAUUCUCAACACACAAUAGUUUGUUGAUCUGUCGAUUUUAUUGUCAUUUUCAUGAACAAUUUAAGAGCGUCAUUCAUCAAAUGAGAAGAAACACCGACAUAUGUUAUAAAUCUCAAAACGAGGAAAGAUUGGUUUGUGUAUAUACCAUUAUUGAAAGAGAUAAUCAUUGGUAUAGGAUAUAAUUAUAUAAUUAAUAAAAAAGUAAAAGAAAUGCCUUCCAACCAAAUAAAAAAAGACAGAAAGUAAUUAAGUACAUAAAUGUGGUCCACGUGACGUGUAAAGUAAGUACAAAGAAAUUGCCUUAUAAUUUUUUGACAAAAUAAAUUGGUUUAUAAUAUUAGAUGUUGUUUUCUGGAAACAUAUAUUCUUUAAUUCUUGUUAUAAUAUGCACAUCAAAUACAUUAUAUUAUAUUUGUUUAUUUUAUAUCUAUCUAAUUCUUCCAAUAGAAGGAAAUCAAUCCGUCUUCUUGAAGAAAUUUUUUAGAGGGACUAAAACGAAUAGUUGAUAUAUUUAUAGGGACUAAAAACAUAUUUAAAUCUUAUUUUAAAGUAGAAAAAUGCUUGAGUCCUAUGAGUUUAGCUUACUAAUUGAUAGAAAUAUUGUAUAAUAUAUGCAUGUGGGAGUCUAAUCACUCUACUUAUUCACCUUCCAAAUUUGAAUUUCUAGCUACUUAUGGGAAGAAAGAAAACGCUUGAACAUAGGGUGUAACAACAAUCAUAAUUCAAUUUUCAACCAUCGAUCCAACUAAUUGAAAAAUUGAUUAAUAAAAAUAUUGAAGUACCCUUAACUCAAACACAGGUUCAAUCAUGGUCUUUAUUUAGAUGGAAAAAAAAAACACAGAGACACACACACACAAACAUGGUUAACAAACACAACGUAGCUAGCAAUAGCAUGGUGUUUUAUUUAGAAAUAGUAGUUAUGAUAAGCUUCAUGCAUAGAUCACUACACCAUUUAUCCUUUUUAACAACAAUUGAAAAAUGUUGCCAGAACUAUGAAAAACGUCCCCUAAAGGUAUAGGGGACGUUUUCCGGGCGUCUCCUAUACGAGCGUCGCCUAUAGUCUAUGGGGACGUUUUUUCAUGUUCUUUGUGCACAGUUUUUGAAAACGUCGCCUAAACCUUAGGAAUAGGGGACGAUUUUUGGGGGAUUAUGAGGGGACGUUUUUAAAUGUUCCCAUAGGUUGCUUCAAUUAAUAAUCGUUGCCUUAAAUUUGAAUGUUUAAGAAAUCAUAAAAACGUCCCCAUAGCUUACAGGCAACAUUUUUAGAGUGUCCUUGUAAAAUUUUAGAAUUUUCCAAUUAUUUUAGAAAUGUAACUAUAGCUUAAAGGCAAUAUUAAAAUUGUCAAUUAUAAUUCAAACAAGAUAACAAUACAACCACAAAAGAUGUAAUAUAAUAAAAUAGUUCAAACAUUAAUUCAAGACAUAAUAGUAAUCAAAAUGUCAAACAUUACUUGAUAAGUUUAAUGCUUCGAAGUAUAAGCCUGGCAAAAUAACAAAACUAUAGUUCGGACAAGUUUAGUGGUUUAACUACAAUCCAAAAUAAAACACCAUCCAACUCGAUCAUUCAAGUUUAUCUUGUAAUUCAUCAGCCAAAUCGUCCACUUCAAAUUCAUCAUCUAGGUCAUCCUCUUGAAAUUCAUCAUCUAUAUCAUCCUUCUGAAAUUCAUCACUUAAGUUGUCCUCAAGAAAUUCGUCCUCAAGAAAUUCAUCAUCUACGUCUUCCUCUUGAAAUUCCUCAUCUAUAUCAUCCUGUACAUGCAUGCAGGCAUUAAGAAUCAAUAACAACGAGACUCAAACAAUAAAAGAAUUAAAAAAAAUUAAUAUUUCAUACUUGCAAAUUGGCUUUUUCCCCUUCAUUGUAAUUAGAUUCAAAGUUUUCAGUUUUUUAUUUACCCAAAAUGAUUGAUUGAUCCAAAUCCCACCAUUGUGAUCGUUUCUCGUAUCGGAAAUUUUAUAUGUAAGUUCAACCUCAGGCAAAUGUGAUGUGUUAAAGAAAGGAUCAUCCUCAACAUCUCUAAUUUCACAUUCUUGAUUGUGGUGAUCAAAAUGUGAUGUGUUACUUGAAAAUUAGACAACUUUUCAUCGGCAGGUUCGUUGACAUAUAAAAUACAACAAAGAUAAAAUGUGAAAACGAGAAAGAAUAUAGCAGACAUGUAUAAAAAUACUUACUUUUUUACAAAGAAUUUUGUAGUUCCAAACCAACAACUCACUAAUUAUGGCAACCAACACAAUUUUACAAAAGCUGUAGAAAUGAAAGGAAAAUCCAGGACCACUCGACAAGCAAAAGAAUGACAAAUAGAGAAAUUCAACAAUGAAAUACAAGAUAAAAUGCAUUAUAGGAUCUGUUCAUGUCAUAUUAAAUCAAGCUGGUUGGAUUAGUAUGACAAAAUGCAUUAUCAUCUUCAUAUUAUAGCAGGCUGCUCUUGUCAGUUGCAGAUCCUAUAUAUAGACUUCUUAUAGGAUAAUAUAUAACAUUCAGGCAGUAGCUGCAACAUCAAAAUUUAGUGUAUGUCCUAAGUUACUUCACAGUUUGCAUUUCAUUGAACGAGAAUUUAAAGUGCUAAAUAAUGACUGUGAACGUUUUGUAAGCCAUCAGGGGCAUCAAUUUUUAAGAAUCAUUAUUAAAUAUUUUAUGUGUGGCUUAUGCAGGAUCAUAUAUAUGCAAUUGAGGGUACCAUAUAUCAUACAAAAACACAUGAUGUCACUAUAAGCUUAUCUUACGUAGGAGAUUUGAACAAUAAGCAUGUCUAAUCACAACAUAAUAGGCACACUAAAAACACUACAUUUUUUUAUUGUUUUUCUUUUUAUCACAAAUAGCCUUUUUGUCUCUCCGGUAACGGCGGUGUUCUACAUUACAAAUUUUUACAGUCUAUACCAACAUGAGUGUAUUUGGGAUCCCAUGGACUAACACCAUCAAACUCUAUACCAACAAAUUGAUUGAACGCAUUUUUGGAGUCAAUAACUCCAAGGUAUCCACCAUCUGAGUUGUUAGGAAGAUAGUUUUGAUCUAGUGGUAAAAGAUGGAAGACAAGUCCACUACCUGGUGAAAAAUCUUUGAAGUCUACAACUUUGAAUGCCAUGGUACUUUGGUGAAAAAAGGUUUUGAUUUGUUGUAAAGAAAGCCAUGGUACUUUGGAGAUUAUACUUUUUAUAUGUAGUUGAUUAGUUGUGAAUGAAAAUUGUAGGUUUGUCACAUGUAUU
rnacentral:lncRNA from 1 species